rnacentral:ncRNA from 2 species
UAUCGGUGCUUGCUGCAAGGUGUCCCCGCGGAGCAGUCCGCUCCCGGGGAUGAAACGGGAAGCAGGUGCGCCGCCUCGCAAAGGCGGCAAUGCCUGCACUGCCCCCGCAACGGUAAGCGAGUGAGGGGUUCCACUACGUCACUGCGCCAGGAAAGGCGCGCGGGAAGACGGAGCCUCAAUCCUCGCGAGUCCGGAGACCGGCCUUGGAGCAUUGGUUCGG